GGGGGUAUAGCUCAAUGGCAAGAGUUCAUGCUUAACAAGCCUGAGGUCCUAGGCUCAAUUCCCAGGACCCCAA
rnacentral:tRNA from 1 species